rnacentral:pre_miRNA from 11 species
UGUAAACAUCCUUGACUGGAAGCUGUGCAAGGCUCAAAGGGGCUUUCAGUCGGAUGUUUACA